rnacentral:rRNA from 1 species
GAUGAACGCUAGCGGCAGGCCUAAUACAUGCAAGUCGAGCGGCAAGUUGAGAAGCAAUUCGAGACCUAGAGCGGCGUACGGGUGCGUAACGCGUAUGCAACCUACCUCAUACAGGGGGAUAGCCCGGAGAAAUCUGGAUUAAUACCCCAUAGUACAUAUAGAGGGCAUCUGAAAUAUGUUAAAGAUUCAUCGGUAUGAGAUGGGCAUGCGUCUGAUUAGCUAGUUGGCGGUGUAACGGACCACCAAGGCGACGAUCAGUAGGGGUUCUGAGAGGAAGGUCCCCCACACUGGCACUGAGAUACGGGCCAGACUCCUACGGGAGGCAGCAGUAGGGAAUAUUGGGCAAUGGUCGGAAGACUGACCCAGCCAUGCCGCGUGCAGGAAGAAGGCCCUCCGGGUUGUAAACUGCUUUUAUCUGGGAAGAAAAGGCCCGUGCGCGGGACAUUGCCGGUACCAGAUGAAUAAGCACCGGCUAACUCCGUGCCAGCCGCCGCCGUAAGAC